rnacentral:lncRNA from 1 species
AACUGGCAUCUCAGUUGGUAGCUGCAGAAAAUAAAUGUAAUCUUUUAGAAAAACAAUUGGAAUACAUGCGAAAUAUGAUAAAGCAUGCAGAAAUGGAGAGAACAUCUGUCUUAGAAAAGCAGAGUGCUGAGAUUGUAGGUACACACCACUGCUCUAUACAUGGUGUGUGAAGUGCUCUGGCUCACAUCCAAGGCCUCUCUGAUGCUAGGUUUCGCUAGAAAGAGAACGGCAGCAUGAUCAAAGCCAUGUUCAGAGCCAGCUGGAAAAACUGGAUCUUCUUGAACAGGAAUAUAACAGACUCACCGCAAUGCAGGCCCUUGCAGAAGUCAGUGAACAUGACUUUACCUACUGAUGUAGAAUGCUGUGGCUGUCAGUUGUUCAUAAACAUGGAAAAAAAUGCAAGAGUUGGAGUCCAAACUCCAUGAAGAAGAGCAGGAAAGGAAGCGUAUGCAGGCUCGGGCAGCGGAGUUACAGAGUGGUAUAGAAGCGAACAGACUUAUAUUUGAAGAUAGAAAUACUUCAUGUGUUUCAACCAGCACUAGAAAAAUAAAGAAAAAGAAGUCAAAACCACCAGAAAAGAAAGGUUUUAGGAACAACUUUGGUGCACAGCCACAUUACAGAUUGUGCUUAGGUGAUAUGCCUUUUGUUGCUGGAACGUCCACCAGUCCCAGCCAUGCCGUGGUAGCCAAUGUUCAGCACGUCUUGCAUCUGAUGAAGCAUCACAGCAGAGCCCUGUGCAAU